UUCAGUCACCGAAAACGCCGUUUAAGUGUGGACGAAAGGUGCAAACGCAUAGAAAAAUCUCCAUUUUCAAAAGUACCUGUGUACAUGUGUACAUAGCUCAAGAAUAAUAAGAACUCCUAAACAGGAGACUUUAAUUUUUAAGAACUGUUUAACAAAGGCUUGUUUGUGCCAACCUAAAUCUGCAGCACAGUUUAAAUUCUCACUUUGUGGAAAAUUAAUGAAAUAAACAACAGCCCACCUUCACAUAAAUAAAAUAUGGCAGUGUAUUAUUAUUAGAAUGGUACAUAGAUAUUUAUUUUAAAACUACAGCAUAUUUAAUGAUACUAUGUGCAGUUGAUAAUAUUUUAGGAAGUAGAAUUUGAAUGCAGACCACCUCAAAUAUUAAAGCCUUAAAAAUAUAUCGUGCAGUUUUUCAUGUAUGAGUGUUAUUGCAAUCUUAAAUGAGAUGUAGACCAAAGAAAACAGAGGAGAGUUGUUGUUGUUUGUAUUCCAGCUGCAGUAAACAAAGAAGUUUAGUGAAUCUUUUUGACAACAGAGAGUGAUGCAGUAUUGAUGCUGAUUUGAGUUUUCUGAUCCUGUAUUUUUGUUCUUUGUCUUUUGUUACACAGAGUGAAAUAAAGCUUGGUUUUGCCUUGCUGAGUGAAACAGAACUUCGGUUUUGCCUUUGCUGGAUACAGAUCUGGUCGUCUCAAGUCUGAGUGAACAGAUCUUUGGCUUUGCCUUUGCUGGUAAGUAGACAGUAAUGGUAAUGUUUAGUAAUUUACUUACAGUAGUUUGGCUAUUUGUGUUAUCUUGCCCUUCACUCAUGGGCAAAGACAAAUAGUCAGGAUUUAGAAUCUGUAGCAGCAAAGCCCCCACACAGGACCACUGACUGCCCCUGAAAAUGUCAAUGAAGUUUAAUAGCCCAUUAAUGUCUGAUUUUAAUUUUUGAUGGCUUAUCAAGUCCAAACAUAGUUAAAUGUCAGAGAUAUCUUUAUGCAGUUGUUCGAUUUCUCCUUAUGUUUGUGGAUUUAAGUGUGAGUAUAGGUGGUACCUUAAACACUUAAGAGCACCACAGCUAUCGAUUUUUAUUUUCUCUCUCAUUCCACUUAUGAAUUAGCAUGAAGUCAAAACGCUAGAAGUAUUUUGCCUGAGUGACUAAGGCUACGUUCACACUGCAGGCGAAAGCGCAUCAAAUCAGAUUUUUUUGUCAUGUUGGUAUCAGUG